CAGGGAAAUAUUUGAUCAACAAUUUGAAACUGAAAGAUCAUUUGCCACCAACAGAUAUGGGCUGGCAAUCCGUGCAUCAGCCAUGCUACUUCAUGUUUUGAUUUACUAUUAUAACUUUAUCUAUUCUAUUGUCUGCUUUUUCUGUUCUUUCACUCUCACUCGAACAAAAUUGUAUGGUUUCUCUAUCCAUCAGGCGUAGAGGUCCUUUGCAUUACUUGAAAGUCUUUAUUCAGUUCAGUUAUCCCUCUCAAGGAAAUGUUUACUUGUUUUUUGAAUGGGUAUCAGAUACCAGAUAAAUGGCCCUAUAGUGAAGCUCGCCUGCUUUUGAAGGGGCCAAUAGUUUCUACAGAAGAACAACCUGAGAUAAAAUGGACUGCUCCAAACGAGGAGGGCUUAAUUUCCUUUCUCGUGGAUGAGAAUGGGUUCAACAUUGACAGAGUGACGAAUGUAUGGCUUCUAUCUUAAGUAAUGUGUUGGUCAGUUGCAUACUCAAGGAAGUUGCUUCUUUUCCUCUGAAGGGGAGAGCAUAGAUGUUUUCAAUGUUGUUUUACCAUGUGUAUCAGGCGAUAGAGAAGAUUAAGGCAGCUAAGGAUGAGUCAUCACAAGGCUGGUAACUAAAGCUUGAACAAUUGAAAGGAGGCAAAUGCACACUUCAAUGCCCCAGUCUGGCAUUCAAGCCCAAGAUAUUCUCUACACAGGUAUCUGUAAAUCCCCAGCCCAGGGUCCUUGGCAGCUUUAAAAUGCCAACCAUGGUGCUGGGUUUGAGGAACUUCAAACAGCCAUUGAGAAUUGUCUGCGUCCUGACGUGGAUCUAAAUAAUGGCGAAUGAAACACCUGGGAAUAUUGCCAAGGAAGCAACUAACAGGAAUUCCAUCUCUGGCGGUUGUAAGAAGAAAUAAUAGUUUAGAACACAAUGAGGAUGUACCACACUUUUCAAAUCUAUUUCUAAUCCUACUCAAUAGUUUAUAUGAACGUAUACGAAUGAGU